GAAACUAUACGUUUUUAAUGAUUCGGACGGAUGGCUAUGAAUGAACAUAAA
rnacentral:sRNA from 1 species